rfam:Actinomyces neuii BVS029A5 genomic scaffold supercont1.2, whole genome shotgun sequence.
CGAGCCGGCCGGACGGUCGCGGCGUGAGUCGAGGAAAGUCCGGGCUCCACAGGACAGGGUGGUGGCUAACGGCCACCCGGGGUAACCCGCGGGCUAGUGCCACAGAAAAAAUACCGCCUAUAGACAACGUCUAGUAGGUAAGGGUGAAAAGGCGAGGUAAGAGCUCACCGCGCGGCAGGUGACUGAAGCGGCAUGGUAAACCCCACCCGGAGCAAGACCAAGUAGCAAGGAAGGUGGUCCGCUUACCCUUGCAGGUAGGUUGCUAGAUCCUGUCGGCAACGACAGGGGUAGAUGGAUGGCCGUCGCCUCUCAAUGAGGUACAGAACCCGGCUUAUAGGCCGGCUCAAAAU